UACGUAGGGGGCAAGCGUUGUCCGGAAUUAUUGGGCGUAAAGCGCGCGCAGGCGGCUUCUUAAGUCUGAUGUGAAAGCCCGCGGCUCAACCGCGGAGGUGCAUUGGAAACUGAGGAGCUUGAGUACAGGAGAGGAGAGUGGAAUUCCACGUGUAGCGGUGAAAUGCGUAGAGAUGUGGAGGAACACCAGUGGCGAAAGCGGCUCUCUGGCCUGUAACUGACGCUGAGGCGCGAAAGCGUGGGGAGCGAACAGG
rnacentral:misc_RNA from 1 species